GAGCAGCCGCAGCAAGCGGUCGGACUCGCACGCGCGGGCCCCGCGCUGGUACAGGGCUGCAGGUUUCCCAGAUGAUGGCAUCCGAGAACUUAAACAAAGAGGGUCGCCGCCGGCGCGCCGCGGCUGCACAAAGUUGCAGUGGCGGAUUUCCAAGAAGCUUGGCCACAGGAGCUCUGCGCGAGGCAAGCCUUCCUUUCCCACCUCCUGCAGGACAGAGAUGGGGGCCCGCGCGUGAAGGGAAGAGGAAACUUUGAAACCAGUGGGGACACAUCUGUCUAUAGAACUGGAGAAAGGAAAUCUGCUUCGCAGACCUCAGACAAGGGCCACAAGAACAUGUACACUGCAAAUGGUUAUAUUAUACAUCACCUGACAACCUCACAUCAGAUAAAGGGGUCCUCGCUCCGCACAGCAAGGGAGAAAAAAAUAUUCAUCGGAGUUCGCUCGACCCCAGUCGCAUUUUCUUUCUCCGCUGCACAUCAAUGCGUGUAAACACGGCUUCGGAGCGGCUGCCCACUUUCUGUGUUCGUCUUCUCUUUUUCAGCAAAGCAAUAGGCAGUAGACAAGAAUGUUACACCGCUAGGAGAAUCCGUUUAAGCGUGUGUUUGAGGUAAACCCUCCUAAUUAAGUCAACUUUAACACAGACACGCAAAUGGCACCCUGCAUAUGUGUCUGGCGCCUAAUAUUGGCUGCUGAGCCCAAAGGAAGUCAGGCAGCAGCAGGGCCGAGGAGACAGUUUAUACGUUCAGCCUCUCCUUCCUUUAACCUUUCUACUAGAAAACUGUUUGUGUGGUGGGGGCUGGGCGGGCAGCUUCCCACUCGGGCUAGUGCCUGAAUCAGUGAGGCUAAGAUGCAGAUGCUCAGACUUUGCUCCGAUGCUCACAGCGUUUCUGGGUCCAUCUUGCCCAAGGAAAACAUGUGAUGAGUUUGAAUGACUGAAAGCCAAAGGAAGAAAGAAUCCAGCUUUGAAGCUCUGUAUAGCCUCGGGUUUCUCCAUUGAGGAGCAUACCAGAGAGCUUCAUCAAGAACAUUCCAGAGGGCUUUAUCUUAUAUGGACUAGAACUUGGUGGGGUAACGUGGGGAGAAUAACAUUUGUAAUGCUUUACCAAGCUGGCAUUUUAGGAGACUUAAGUAGUUAGCAAUUGGAACAUCAAUGUUUUUGGUGGCCCCAAGUGACACAUAAAAGGAAUAACUUUCCCUCAAUUGCUGUUGAGGGACUGCUAGAGGGUCAGUUACUCUGGGCUAAGAGUGAAUGGGAAAAGUCCUGUUAGGUGAUCUAGUUAGACAUCAUUCGUUCUUCCAGACUUACAGAGUAUAGCAGUCAGACAUCAUUAGCUCAUCCAGACCUACACAGAAUAGCAAUCAGACAUCAUUAGUUCAUCCAGACAUAUUGACUGUAACAAUUAGAUGUCUUGUCACCCUGUCAGAACCACUGGCAACCCAAAUGUAGAGUAAGACUUAAAAAGGUAAAAUAAAAAAUCUCCAGAA
rnacentral:lncRNA from 1 species